CACAGUAAGCAGUCAAGAAUAUUUGUGGUUCUACUGACUGAAGUGCUCCUAUCUUGUGACUCAUGCGUGGCACGUCUAUAAGUCAAGCUGGAAUCCUCUAAAAUAAGUCACAUGGGAAAAAAUUCUGAUCUUAUUCUAGACGAAGAAUGAAAAGCCAGGAAGCUACAUAACCCAAGAAGUACGGCCUUUGAAGAGAAUGACAGUCAGAAAAGGGAUUAAGUGGCACAUUUUUUUCAGACGACUGAUGCUCCUGUGAGUACGAGACUAUACAGUGCAAUAUAAAUCAGCUGUUGGUUUGAGUUACGGGAAGGAGCUGGUCUUGUUUAUGUAUCUUAGAUAUCAAUAAAGUGAUCAAAAGGAGUCAAUCAAA